UCAAAGCUUUCUCCACAGCUACGCCCCUUUCCUCCAGCUGCCUCUGCUUUUCCUCCACCUGCUCCAACUGCCUCUGGAUGAUCUGAACAAACAGGCAGGUUUCUGAGGGACGUGGCUGCAGAGGUUACCUCUAACACUCGACUGAUGCAACAGUUUACCCUCAUUAAAAAUAAAUGGCUGGAGGCACAGCGGGAGCACCGCUAAUUGGAAGUGUAUUGAUGUCUACAAGCUCCACAUCAGGACUGUCUGCCUCUGCUUCCAGAUCUUCAUCUUCACAGAGCUCUGGCAUGACAAAAGAAGACGGCAAGAAUUUGGCGUGGAGCUCCACCGCCUCCUUCCAGGGAACCCCGCCGAGGUCUGAGGGACUAUGAGGUUGUUGUUCCACCUCCUCCUGAUCCUGAUCCUGAUCCUCCUGCUCAUCCUCCUCCUCCAUGUCUGACUCUGAGC